GAAAUGCGAUAAGUAAUGUGAAUUGCAGAAUUCAGUGAAUCAUCGAAUCUUUGAACGCACCUUUCGCUCCUUGGUAUUCCUUGGAGCAUGCCUGUUUGAGUAUCAUGAAAUCUUCAAAGUAAAUCUUUUGUUAACUCAAUUGGUUUCUACUUUGUUAUUGGAGGUCUUUGCAGCUUCACACCUGCUCCUCUUUGUUCAUUAGCUGGAUCUCAGUGUUAUGCUUGGUUCCACUCGGCGUGAUAAGUUAUCUAUCGCUGAGGACACUGUAAAAGGUGGCCAAGGUAAAUGCAGAUGAACCGCUUCUAAUAGUCCAUUGACUUGGACAAUACUUUUAUGAUCUGAUCUCAAAUCAGGUAGGACUACCCGCUGAACUUAAGC
rnacentral:misc_RNA from 1 species